rnacentral:tRNA from 1 species
ACAUUGCUUAGUUGGUAGAGCACAAGGAUCUUAACUUUAUGGACGUGGGUUAGAGCCCCAUGGUGGG